UACGGGGGGGGCAAGCGUUGUUCGGAAUUACUGGGCGUAAAGGGCGCGUAGGCGGCCUUCUAAGUCGGACGUGAAAUCCCUCGGCUUAACCGAGGAACUGCGUCCGAUACUGAAAGGCUUGAAUCCGGGAGAGGGAUGUGGAAUUCCAGGUGUAGCGGUGAAAUGCGUAGAUAUCUGGAGGAACACCGGCGGCGAAGGCGGCAUCCUGGACCGGCAUUGACGCUGAGGCGCGAAAGCUAGGGGAGCGAACAGG
rnacentral:rRNA from 1 species